rnacentral:rRNA from 1 species
CCUACGGGAGGCAGCAGUGGGGAAUAUUGCACAAUGGGGGAAACCCUGAUGCAGCGACGCCGCGUGAGUGAAGAAGUAUUUCGGUAUGUAAAGCUCUAUCAGCAGGGAAGAAGACAGACGGUACCUUACUAAGAAGCCCCGGCUAACUACGUGCCAGCAGCCGCGGUAAUACGUAGGGGGCAAGCGUUAUCCGGAUUUACUGGGUGUAAAGGGAUCGUAGACGGCUGUGCAAGUGUGAAGUGAAAGCCCAGGGCUCAACCCUGGGACUGCUUUGGAAACUGUGGAGCUAGAGUGCUGGAGAGGUAAGUGGAAUUCCUAGUGUAGCGGUGAAAUGCGUAGAUAUUAGGAGGAACACCAGUGGCGAAGGCGGCUUACUGGACAUUAACUGACGCUGAGGCACGAAGGCCAGGGGAGCGAAAGGGAUUAGAUACCCGGGUAGUC